GAACGACGCUGGCGGCAGGCCUAACACAUGCAAGUCGAGCGCCCGCAAGGGAGCGGCAGACGGGUGAGUAACGCGUGGGAAUCUACCCCGAGGUACGGAACAACUCGGCGAAAGCUGAGCUGAUACCGUAUGUGACCGAGAGGUGAAAGAUUAUCGCCUCGGGAUGAGCCCGCGUCGGAUUAGCUAGUUGGUGGGGUAACGGCCCACCAAGGCGACGAUCCGUAGCUGGUCUGAGAGGAUGAUCAGCCACACUGGGACUGAGACACGGCCCAGACUCCUACGGGAGGCAGCAGUGGGGAAUAUUGGACAAUGGGGGCAACCCUGAUCCAGCCAUGCCGCGUGAGUGAUGAAGGCCUUAGGGUUGUAAAGCUCUUUCGCCCGCGAAGAUAAUGACGGUAGCGGGAGAAGAAGCCCCGGCUAACUUCGUG
rnacentral:rRNA from 1 species